UUUCCUGCCAGAGCCCCUCACCCCCCUGAAAAUGUUUGCCUGCUCCAAGUUUGUCUCCACUUCCUCCUUGGUCAAGAGCACCUCACAGCUGCUGAGCCGUCCACUAUCUGCAGUUUUGCUGAAACGACUGGAGACACUGACAGAUGAGAGCCCCAGCAGCUUGGCAGUCUCACGUCCCCUUACCUCAUUUGUCUCUAGCUGCAGCUUCCAAACCAGCGCCAUUUCAAGGGACAUCGACACAGCCGCCAAGUUCAUUGGGGCUGGGGCUGCCACAGUUGGGGUGGCCAGCUCUGGGGCUGGGAUUGGGACUGUGUUUGGGAGCCUCAUCAUUGGUUAAGCCAGGAACCCUUCUCUGAUGCAACAGCUCUUCUCCUACGCCAUUCUGGGCUUUGCCCUCUCGGAGGCCAUGGGGCUCUUUUGCCUGAUGGUGGCCUUUCUCAUCCUCUUCGCCAUGUGAAGAAGCCGUCUCCAUAUCCCAUAGUUCUUUCUCCCACGUAUGGUCAGCCCUGUGUGUUCCUUUUCCUAUACCUCCCCAGGUAUCCUGGGGAACGUGGUUGGCUCAGGGUUUGACAGAGAAAAGACAAAUAAAUACUGUAUUAAUAAGAAAAAAAAAAAAAAAAAAAA